CGAUCUACACGCCGUGUGUGUAUCAUAGCAACCAGUGUCAUCGUCGCUCUUUUGAUAAUCUCUGGUACAACUUUUGGCGCUAUAGCCUAUAACUAUCAUCUUUUUAACAAAGAGAAAUACGAAACUAAAGCCAUAAUAAAUGGCGAGGCUUUACCAGAACAUAUUCAAGUGGAUUAUAAAAAUGAGUUUAUAUACGUCAGACAUGAACAGCAUGGUAAUACUGACGCUUUGGACGCUCUCCAUAACUAUGGCAGGAAACUAAUGGCUUUACACGACUUAACUAAGAACAUGUGUUUCAUUGAUCGAAUAAAUGAGACGUUUAAUGGAGGUCUACAUUUCUGGUCAAGUCAUGAAGGCACAGAAAGGGUUCCCAAAAAAAUAUUAUUUGACUACACGGUGGAACCUAUAAAUGCAAAAGUUCUCCGAAAAUUUGCUGGUGACGAGAUUGCUAACCAUUGUGGAAACGCAACAUCACACUGGAUCAUAAACGAACGGCCAUUUAUUAUUCAAAACAGACAAAAACGAAGUGCAGCACAAUUCAGUAUGCACUGUGAAAAUGAAAUGACCAGCGAACAAAGCAAAACCAACAAUAAUUAACACAAGGCGCAGGACGACCAUAGAAGAAAAUAUAGAGAUAGGACCUUUUGCUAGUUUGCUUAUAUUACACAGUGAUUGGCAGUUCCUGCAGUGACGCCACAUGUCGUAUGUUAAUUAAAGAUGGAAUCGAUUUCACGAUUUUUAUACCAGAUAAUUAAUAAAUCGACUGGAUUAUUCCUUUAAACGCUAAUUUCAGAUUUUGAGUAUAUAGUAAUUAUGUUAGCCAUUGCAUAUCCUUUAACUUAGUAUAUCGAUGUCUUUAAAUA